rnacentral:rRNA from 1 species
CGGUCUGUCAAGUCGGAUGUGAAAUCCCUGGGCUCAACCUGGGAACUGCAUUCGAAACUGGCAGGCUAGAGUACUUUAGGGAGGGGUAGAAUUCCACGUGUAGCGGUGAAAUGCGUAGAGAUGUGGAGGAAUACCGAAGGCGAAGGCAGCCCCUUGGGAAUGUACUGACGCUCAUGUGCGAAAGCGUGGGGAGCAAACAGGAUUAGAUACCCUGGUAGUCCACGCUGUAAACGAUGUCGAUUUGGAGGUUGUGCCCUUGAGGCGUGGCUUCCGGAGCUAACGCGUUAAAUCGACCGCCUGGGGAGUACGGCCGCAAGGUUAAAACUCAAAUGAAUUGACGGGGGCCCGCACAAGCGGUGGAGCAUGUGGUUUAAUUCGAUGCAACGCGAAGAACCUUACCUGGUCUUGACAUCC